rnacentral:rRNA from 1 species
GGGAUUAGAUACCCCGGUAGUCCAUGCUGUAAACGAUGGAUGCUAGCUGUAUUCGGUAUCGACCCCCGGAUGUAGCGAAGCUAACGCGUUAAGCAUCCCGCCUGUGGAGUACGGUCGCAAGACUAAAACAUAAAGGAAUUGACGGGGACCCGCACAAGCGGUGGAGCGUGUUGUUUAAUUCGAUGGUAAACGAAGAACCUUACCCAGACUUGACAUCCUUGGAAUUUCUCCGAAAGGAGAGAGUGCUUUAUUGAACCAAGUGACAGGUGCUGCAUGGCCGUCGUCAGCUCGUGUCGUGAGAUGUAUGGUUAAGUCCAUCAACGAGCGCAACCCUUAUGAUUAGUUGAAUUUUUCUAAUCAGACUGCCCUGGCAACAGGGAGGAAGGAGGGGUCGAAGUCAGGUCAGUAUUGCCCUUACGUCUGGGGCUACAAACACGCUACAAUGGCCGGUACAAAGGGCUGCCAAGUCGCAAGACGGAGCAAAUCCCAUCAAAGCCGGUCUCAGUUCGGAUUGCAGGCUGAAACUCGCCUGCAUGAAGCUGGAAUCGCUAGUAACGGUAGGUCAGCUAUACUACCGUGAAUACGUUCCCGGGUCUUGUACACACCGCCCGUCAAACCAUGAAAGUCGCCAAU